rnacentral:lncRNA from 1 species
UUUCUUUGGAAAAUAACAAUAAUACUUCACUAGAAUGUCAAUAAUAAUUAAGCUGGGGGUGUAUAGGGAAGAAAUAAAAGCAACAUCCCUCAAGGGUUAUAUUAUUUCUAAUGUGCAAAUCUUUGCACACGUGACCUCUCUGCCCCGGUGUGCUAUCGAUGUACACCCAUCAAGGCUUAAGGUAAAGAACCACCACACCCGAUUAUAUGUGUAAUGUGGCUGCACCCUUUUGGGCUGAGGGCAAAAAACAUCUUACGCAAAUAUCAUCAUUGCGCAAAGGCAAAUGUAAAUGUAUAGGGAGAAGGAGCUCUUUGGGGAUGGGCGGUCAUGCUGGUGGAUGUGAGGAAACAGCAAAAUAACUGAAAGGAAAGAGAAGACAUCUGAAUGAGGUCUUCA